AGCUCCAAUAGCGUAUAUUAAAGUUGUUGCAGUUAAAAAGCUCGUAGUUGGAUUUCGGGAUGGCCCGGCCGGUCUGCCGCAAGGUAUGUUACUGGCCGAGCUGUUCUUCUUCGCAAAGACUGUGUGUGCUCUUAACUGAGUGUGCUCAGGAUCUGUGACGUUUACUUUGAAAAAAUUAGAGUGUUCAAAGCAAGCCAGCGCUUGGAUACAUAAGCAUGGAAUAAUGGAAUAGGACUUUGGUUCUAUUUUGUUGGUUUCUGGAACCGAAGUAAUGAUUAAGAGAGACAGUUGGGGGCAUUCGUAUUUCGUUGUCAGAGGUGAAAUUCUUGGAUUUACGAAAGACGAACUACUGCGAAAGCAUUUGCCAAGAAUGUUUUCAUUAAUCAAGAACGAAAGUACG
rnacentral:rRNA from 1 species